AUUACUUUGGCAGAAUAGUGCAUUAAAUUUAGAAUUUAAUAAAAUAUUAUUAGAUUAUAUAGGUAAUA
rnacentral:tRNA from 1 species